GAUUCUUUAACUCAAUCGGUAGAGUGCAAUUUUGAUAAGAUUGUGAUCCAAGUUCGAUUCUUGGAAGAAUUA
rfam:Verticillium dahliae VdLs.17 supercont1.53 mitochondrial scaffold, whole genome shotgun sequence.